rnacentral:ribozyme from 1 species
UGCCCAGCAACUCCUAUCCCUACCUCCACGCGGUACCGGCCGGAAACUAUGAGCAACCUUAGGGAAGAUCGGGUAACCAACCCCGAUGGGAACUUUGGUCGUAGGCUGACAGGGAAAG